GAGAAGAGCAAACCUUAAUUGGAGGGAAGAAGUACUCAAGGCAGACGUGCAAAAGAUGAUCAGUGGGUAAAAGCAACCCUGGGGAGAAGAAACAGGCAGAAAGGAAAGCUAAAUGUUGGCCUGCUAGAAAAGACCUGCCUGGAGGCGCUCUGGGUUUUAUUGAACACUGCAGGGCUGCUUUAAUUUAGCAGUGUUUAUUUUCCAAGGUUUGCAACACCAGGGCUCUUUCCAAUAUACUGCAUUUGCCGGUGUAUUUUGGCUGUGCCUAGAGGCCCACCAUGGGCUGACGGAUGUCCAGGUGUGGAAAAGCACGUUAGCCAUUUGUUUGCACAGUGGAUUGAUUUCUUUGCACUUUCUUUGUCCCUCUUAAUUGAAAUAGUAAACAUUACUGUACUCAAAACUGAAAUAGUCCCCGGACAUCAGUCUUAUACAUUAAUAAUUAGAAAUAUAACUCCUUUAGGAUGCCUCUUCCUUGGAUCACAUCCUUCAAAUGUCAAGCCGGUUUGUAAUAAGAAUCAGAGAACUGUAUAAGGCAACCUGAUACUUAACAAGAAACUACACAAACUCUCACCAAACAAAAGCAUCACAGAAAGCAGGAGGAAAGAAAGGAGAAUUUUUAAAACCAUCUUCUCAAGGCAUAUGGAAAUGCCAGUGCUCUGUUUUUCCAGGUUAACACAACUAGGUCUCUCUCUUCUAGGUGCUCUGAAUAGGUUACUGAUGAGCCAUCUGCAGCAGGCCUGCUCCUGGAUGUCACGCCCCUGUUAAUGAAAUCUGGACGUGCACUGGAAAACGGACCUGGUGAAUGGUAGAUGUCAGCCCUUGCGUGAUGGGCAAUCAUCAAUCAUCCAUUGUCAGUUAUUUCUGUCCCAGUGAGUAAGCCUUUAUUUAAAGCAGAAAGUAAGAAUGUUGCCAGACCACAGGAACAAGCCCUGAGCUGUUUGCAGGUGCUGCUAUUCACAGCUGCCAAUUAAACUCCUGACAUUUCCAUAUUGGCCAUGAGGCACAGCAUAUGCUUUGGACAUACCAAAUCUUAAAAAAAAAAAAAAAAUCGUCACUCUCAGAUUAUCAAUACAUGUGUCUUUUUCCCCCAUGCUUUCAACAUUAGGAUUUUAAAGAUAGUUUAUUCUAGAAAUAGAGGAAGGAGAAACAAAAACUUAAGUGAAGGGAGUUAUUAAGAUGUGCGCAUAGCCUCCUUUCUUGCCUUUGGAAAGUGGCCAGCAUUUUAGAUGUGGAAAGUCUUUUCUGAUGCUGACAUCUACAUAGCAGAAAUCUCCUUUCAGGAUUUCCACUUUCAAAAAUCUUUUUCCUUCUAUCCUUAAAUUUUUUCUUACUAGUUGAUAACCAAAUGCUACUGCUUACCUCAUGUAAUCGAGUACUAUUAAAAGGAGAUAUUAAAAUUUUGAUCAUGCAACUAUAUUCCAUUUCUUUCAUUGGGAUUCAAACAUAAGUGUGCUUUGUGUUUAAAGAAUUUCAUGAAACUUGCCAGAGACAUUUUAGUCUUUCAUGAAAGUAAGCCCAUGAUAGGAUGGAUUCCUCUGCAGAGUUUACACAAUGCCUUCACUCUCACAUAUGUCCAGAUUGGAAGAUGAAAGCAUUCAACCGCUCUUGUGAGGAUUAUGGAUAUUGUGGAUGUGUUAAUUCAUUAAUUCUAUACACGAAGAAAGAAAUGGCAACCCACUCCAGUAUUCUUUCCUGAGAUAGCCCAUGGACAGAGGAGCCUGGCAUGCUACAGUCCAUAGGGUCGAAAAAGAGUCGGACAGGACUUAGUGACUAAACAAUAACAAAAAAAUGCACAUAGCAUACAAUUAAAGUGUACAAGCCAGUAGCAUUUAGUGUAUUCAGUGUUGUGCAACUACCAUUUCCCUCUAGUUUUCAAAUGUUUUCAUUAUCCCAGGAAGCACCCUGUAUCCAUUGAAUAAUCACUCACUCCAGAUUUUUCCCUCCCAGACCCUGGUANNNNNNNNNNNNNNNNNNNNNNNNNNNNNNNNNNNNNNNNNNNNNNNNNNNNNNNNNNNNNNNNNNNNNNNNNNNNNNNNNNNNNNNNNNNNNNNNNNNUCCCUCUAGUUUUCAAAUGUUUUCAUUAUCCCAGGAAGCACCCUGCAUCCAUUGAAUAAUCACUCACUCCAGAUUUUUCCCUCCCAGACCCUGGUAACUACUAAUUUGCUUUCUGAUUCUAUAGAUUUACCUAUUCUGGAUACAGCCUAUGACAGUAAUCAUAUAAUAGGUGACCUUUUGUGUUUGACGUCUUGGGAUAGUG
rnacentral:lncRNA from 1 species